UCAUUACAAAAUAUGGUGGUGCCGACGUGCUCCCAUCAUCUUCAUCCACUCUGUGUAUCUUUCCUGUUGCUUCCGUGGGGUUGGACGGGGUACAUGCAUUGCCUCUUGCCCUCGGGGGUCAUUGAUCUCCGAGCAACACCUCACGGGAGGGAAGCUUUGAAACCCUGUGUAUUGUGAUAAUUUCCGGUCUGAUCUUGUUUUGAAGAAACAUUAAAACUUUCAGCAACGGAUCUCUUGGUUCUCGCAUCGAUGAAGAACGCAGCGAAAUGCGAAAAGUAGUGUGAAUUGCAGAAUUCAGUGAAUCAUCGAAUCUUUGAACGCACAUUGCGCCUCGCGGUAUUCCGUGAGGCAUGCCUGUUCGAGCGUCUUUGAAAAAUACAUUCGAGCUUCAUUGCUUGGUCGUGGUGGAUGAGCACCAUUGAAGAGUUCUCACCACCGAAAUUGAAUGGCCAAUUACCAGCUGUCAUUGUGAGCCGUUAUAUGUCCGAAGAACCAUCGUUUAAAGUGACCUGGUAGUUGCGGC
rnacentral:rRNA from 1 species